UUGAAGAGUUUGAUCAUGGCUCAGAUUGAACGCUGGCGGCAGGCCUAACACAUGCAAGUCGAGCGGUAGCACAGAGAGCUUGCUCUCGGGUGACGAGCGGCGGACGGGUGAGUAAUGUCUGGGAAACUGCCUGAUGGAGGGGGAUAACUACUGGAAACGGUAGCUAAUACCGCAUAAUGUCGCAAGACCAAAGUGGGGGACCUUCGGGCCUCAUGCCAUCAGAUGUGCCCAGAUGGGAUUAGCUAGUAGGUGGGGUAACGGCUCACCUAGGCGACGAUCCCUAGCUGGUCUGAGAGGAUGACCAGCCACACUGGAACUGAGACACGGUCCAGACUCCUACGGGAGGCAGCAGUGGGGAAUAUUGCACAAUGGGCGCAAGCCUGAUGCAGCCAUGCCGCGUGUGUGAAGAAGGCCUUCGGGUUGUAAAGCACUUUCAGCGGGGAGGAAGGCGUUAAGGUUAAUAACCUUGGCGAUUGACGUUACCCGCAGAAGAAGCACCGGCUAACUCCGUGCCAGCAGCCGCGGUAAUACGGAGGGUGCAAGCGUUAAUCGGAAUUACUGGGCGUAAAGCGCACGCAGGCGGUCUGUCAAGUCGGAUGUGAAAUCCCCGGGCUCAACCUGGGAACUGCAUUCGAAACUGGCAGGCUAGAGUCUUGUAGAGGGGGGUAGAAUUCCAGGUGUAGCGGUGAAAUGCGUAGAGAUCUGGAGGAAUACCGGUGGCGAAGGCGGCCCCCUGGACAAAGACUGACGCUCAGGUGCGAAAGCGUGGGGAGCAAACAGGAUUAGAUACCCUGGUAGUCCACGCCGUAAACGAUGUCGAUUUGGAGGUUGUGCCCUUGAGGCGUGGCUUCCGGAGCUAACGCGUUAAAUCGACCGCCUGGGGAGUACGGCCGCAAGGUUAAAACUCAAAUGAAUUGACGGGGGCCCGCACAAGCGGUGGAGCAUGUGGUUUAAUUCGAUGCAACGCGAAGAACCUUACCUGGUCUUGACAUCCACAGAACUUUCCAGAGAUGGAUUGGUGCCUUCGGGAACUGUGAGACAGGUGCUGCAUGGCUGUCGUCAGCUCGUGUUGUGAAAUGUUGGGUUAAGUCCCGCAACGAGCGCAACCCUUAUCCUUUGUUGCCAGCGGUCCGGCCGGGAACUCAAAGGAGACUGCCAGUGAUAAACUGGAGGAAGGUGGGGAUGACGUCAAGUCAUCAUGGCCCUUACGACCAGGGCUACACACGUGCUACAAUGGCAUAUACAAAGAGAAGCGACCUCGCGAGAGCAAGCGGACCUCAUAAAGUAUGUCGUAGUCCGGAUUGGAGUCUGCAACUCGACUCCAUGAAGUCGGAAUCGCUAGUAAUCGUAGAUCAGAAUGCUACGGUGAAUACGUUCCCGGGCCUUGUACACACCGCCCGUCACACCAUGGGAGUGGGUUGCAAAAGAAGUAGGUAGCUUAACCUUCGGGAGGGCGCUUACCACUUUGUGAUUCAUGACUGGGGUGAAGUCGUAACAAGGUAACCGUAGGGGAACCUGCGGUUGGAUCACCUCCUU
rnacentral:rRNA from 3 species